rnacentral:lncRNA from 1 species
AGGGCGAUCGUGCAUAGGAUUCCAAAGGGACAACUUCGACUGUGAAAAUUUCUCUGUACUUCAUUCGAAACUCAAACUCGAAAAUAGGGAGACUGGUGUUGGGUAUAAAAUACCCCCCAGCCGAAGUUCGUGACAGGAGUGACCCUCCAAGGAUUCUACCGACUUCCGACCUUCAGCGACAUCUUUCCGAAGGCUGAGCCUCCGCAACAUUCCCAAAUUCUGCCGACGGAUAAACCCCCACCAGCGUCGACCGGAUUCUUCACGACGGACGGACUCCACCCAAGUUUCCACGAUGAUCGACCACCUUCUAGACUUCAUCCGGACUCCUACGGGAGCCGGACUUCGUCCCCGACUCCAACUGCAGGAAGACUUCAUCCGGACUCCUACGGGAGCCGAACUUCAUCCCCGACUCCAACUGCAGGAAGACUUCAUCCAGACUCCUACGGGAGCCGGACUUCGAACUUCUACCACAAG